rnacentral:misc_RNA from 1 species
UCGUUGGGCUUCGGCCCAUUCGAGAUAACACCCUUGCCUUUUUGAGUACCUUUUCGUUUCCUCGGCGGGCUCGCCUGCCAACGGGGACCCCUCAAAACGCUUUGUAAAUACCUGUAACUGUCUGAUACAACAAGCAAAAAUCA